rnacentral:lncRNA from 1 species
CCGGUCCGGUGAGGGGUCAACGUCGAAUCUGGGUGCGAGUGUCGCCGAUCGGUAGCAUCGGAUCUGGGAGCGUCAAGGGUCUAGGUGCGGACGUCGCGGGCGAGGAACUCCGAGCGUAGGCAUAGGCAAGGCAGAGGUGGUGUCGGGGCGGCACAGCGAGACUGGCGGGCGGCGUCUGCUCCCGGAUCUGGUGGCGUCGAACGCGCAGUGGGCUCCAGGCAGAUCUGGGCGGAGGAGGACAUCGGGGUUGCUGCAACGUCGGAUCGUGGCGUGGGCUUCGGUGUGAGGGUUCGGCAAGCGAAGCGGCGAGGGUGGUGGCAGCGCGAUGAGGGGCUGCAGGCGGCACGGCGGUGGUGGCCGGCGGAGGCGAUGACCGGCGGAGACAACUCCGGCGUCAGCUGGUGCGGAUGCGGAGCCGGCCGGUCGAAGCUCUCCCCUUCCUACGAAGAAGACGAUUCGACUUCCCCGUUUUUUUUUCUUUUCUCUCUCUCUCUCUCUCUCUCACCUGUCACUCACGUCACUCUUUCCUUUCUCUCCCUUUUCUUUUGACUUUUUUCUUCUUCUUUUUCGACUCAUUUUAUACACCAAAAAAAUUGUAUAUCCAUGGCAUAUUUCAUUGCCAAUUUUGCUCAUGCAAAAUAAUAUUUGAAUAUAUCAUUCCACC